rnacentral:rRNA from 1 species
AUGAACGCUGGCGGCGUGCCUAAUACAUGCAAGUCGAGCGAACGGACGAGAAGCUUGCUCCUCUGAUGUUAGCGGCGGACGGGUGAGUAACACGUGGAUAACCUACCUAUAAGACUGGGAUAACUUCGGGAAACCGGAGCUAAUACCGGAUGAUAUUUUGAACCGCAUGGUUCAAAAGUGAAAGACGGUCUUGCUGUCACUUAUAGAUGGAUCCGCGCUGCAUUAGCUAGUUGGUAAGGUAACGGCUUACCAAGGCAACGAUGCAUAGCCGACCUGAGAGGGUGAUCGGCCACACUGGAACUGAGACACGGUCCAGACUCCUACGGGAGGCAGCAGUAGGGAAUCUUCCGCAAUGGGCGAAAGCCUGACGGAGCAACGCCGCGUGAGUGAUGAAGGUCUUCGGAUCGUAAAACUCUGUUAUUAGGGAAGAACAUAUGUGUAAGUAACUGUGCACAUCUUGACGGUACCUAAUCAGAAAGCCACGGCUAACUACGUG